rnacentral:rRNA from 1 species
UUAGAGUUUGACCUGGCUCAGGAUGAACGCUAGCUACAGGCUUAACACAUGCAAGUCGAGGGGCAUCGCGGUGCGGCAACGCACCGGCGGCGACCGGCGCACGGGUGAGUAACGCGUAUCCGACCUGGCCUUCACUUUGGGAUAGCCCCUCGAAAGAGGGAUUAAUACCGGAUAUGUGGGAGCGUUACAUGGCACUCCCACGAAAGAUUUAUCGGUGAAGGAUGGGGAUGCGUCCCAUUAGCUUGUUGGCGGGGUAACGGCCCACCAAGGCGACGAUGGGUAGGGGUACUGAGAGGUAGGUCCCCCACAUUGGAACUGAGACACGGUCCAAACUCCUACGGGAGGCAGCAGUGAGGAAUAUUGGUCAAUGGGCGAGAGCCUGAACCAGCCAAGUAGCGUGAAGGAAGACUGUCCUAUGGAUUGUAAACUUCUUUUGUCGGGGGAUAAAGCGGGCCACGUGUGGCCCUUUGCAGGUACCCGAUGAAUAAGGACCGGCUAAUUCCGUGCCAGCAGCCGCGGUAAUACGGAAGGUCCGAGCGUUAUCCGGAUUUAUUGGGUUUAAAGGGUGCGUAGGCUGUUGUUCAAGUCAGAGGUGAAAGCCCGGGGCUCAACUCCGGAACUGCCUUUGAUACUGGGCGGCUUGAAUCCUGUUGCCGUGGGAGGAAUGAGUAGUGUAGCGGUGAAAUGCAUAGAUAUUACUCAGAACACCGAUUGCGAAGGCAUCUCACGAAGCAGGUAUUGACGCUGAGGCACGAAAGCGUGGGGAUCAAACAGGAUUAGAUACCCUGGUAGUCCACGCAGUAAACGAUGAUGACUAACCGUCGGCGAUACACAGUCGGUGGCCAAGCGAAAGCGAUAAGUCAUCCACCUGGGGAGUACGACCGCAAGGUUGAAACUCAAAGGAAUUGACGGGGGCCCGCACAAGCGGAGGAACAUGUGGUUUAAUUCGAAGCAACGCGAAGAACCUUACCAAGGCUUGACAUAACAGUGAAUAAGGCGGAAACGUCUUAGCCCUUCGGGGCGUCUGUAGAGGUGGUGCAUGGUUGUCGUCAGCUCGUGUCGUGAGAUGUCGGCUUAAGUGCCAUAACGAGCGCAACCCUUGCCGUCAGUUGCCAUCACUUCGGGUGGGCACUCUGUCGGGACUGCCAUCGUAAGAUGCGAGGAAGGUGGGGAUGACGUCAAAUCAGCACGGCCCUUACGUCCGGGGCUACACACGUGUUACAAUGGAGGGUACAGAAGGCAGCCACCUGGCGACAGGGCGCGAAUCCCCAAAACCUUCCUCAGUUCGGAUCGGAGUCUGCAACCCGACUCCGUGAAGCUGGAUUCGCUAGUAAUCGCGCAUCAGCCAUGGCGCGGUGAAUACGUUCCCGGGCCUUGCACUCACCGCCCGUCAA